rnacentral:rRNA from 1 species
AACAGGAUUAGAUACCCUGGUAGUCCACGCCGUAAACGAUGAGUGCUAGGUGUUGGGGGUUUCCGCCCUCUGUGCCGAAGGUAACCCAAUAAGCACUCCGCCUGGGGAGUACGGCCGCAAGGCUGAAACUCAAAGGAAUUGACGGGGGCCCGCACAAGCGGUGGAGCAUGUGGUUUAAUUCGAAGCAACGCGAAGAACCUUACCAGGGCUUGACAUCCCGCUGACCGGUGUAGAGAUACACCUUCCCUUCGGGGCAGCGGUGACAGGUGGUGCAUGGUUGUCGUCAGCUCGUGUCGUGAGAUGUUGGGUUCAGUCCCGCAACGAGCGCAACCCUUGUCGUCAGUUGCCAGCACAUGAUGGUGGGCACUCUGGCGAGACAGUCGGUGAAAGCCGGAGGAAGGUGGGGAUGACGUCAAAUCAUCAUGCCCCUUAUGUCCUGGGCUACACACGUGCUACAAUGGCCGGUACAACGGGCAGCGAACCCGUGAGGGGGAGCCAAUCCCAAAAAACCGGUCUCAGUUCGGAUCGCAGGCUGCAACUCGCCUGCGUGAAGCUGGAAUCGCUAGUAAUCGCGGAUCAGCAUGCCGCGGUGAAUCCGUUCCCGGGCCUUGUACACACCGCCCGUCACACCACGAGAGUCUGCAACACCCGAAGUCGGUGAGGUAACCUUCGGGAACCAGCCGCCGAAGGUGGGGCAGAUGAUUGGGGUGAAGUCGUAACAAGGUAACC